AACCACAUAACCGGAGAAGACCUUCAAGCAUUGGAGGCAACCUUCAACACUCUCUUCCUCGGUUUCUCCCUUCAUCAAGAAGCUGGAAGUCGGCCCUUUCGCACUUGGAAACUCACCUCUUUAAGCUCUCCAUUUUCUCCCCUUCGUAUACAAGUGUAACCUUGCAAAGGACAAGUUCCCAAGCCUCAAGGAGAACAAAUUAAUUUGGAGGUUUAUUUGGUUAAGUACCUCAAGGAAUGUGGAAGGAAAAGCGUAGAAAAAGGGGAUAAAUGAAUCUAUAACUUAUGUAAUGGCUGUAUUUUAUUGUUUGUGGUAUU